UGCCAGCAGCCGCGGUAAUACGGAGGGGGUUAGCGUUGUUCGAAAUUACUGGGCGUAAAGCGCACGUAGGCGGACUGGAAAGUUGGGGGUGAAAUCCCAGGGCUCAACCCUGGAACUGCCUGGGCAACGGCCGCGCUAGACAGCAUCAGGGGAAGGUGGAACUCGCGGUGGAGCGGUGAAAUGCGUAGAUAUCGCGAGGAACGCCGGUGGCGAAAGCGACCUUCUGGGGUGCUUGUGACGCUGAGGCGCGAAAGCUAGGGGAGCGAACGGGAUUAGAUA
rnacentral:rRNA from 1 species